ACGGAAGGCAGCAGUGGGGAAUAUUGGGCAAUGGGCGAAAGCCUGACCCAGCAACGCCGUGUGAAGGAAGAAGGUCUUCGGAUUGUAAACUUCUUUUAUCAGGGACGAAGAAAGUGACGGUACCUGAUGAAUAAGCCACGGCUAACUACGUGCCAGCAGCCGCGGUAAUACGUAGGUGGCAAGCGUUAUCCGGAUUUACUGGGUGUAAAGGGCGCGUAGGCGGGGAUGCAAGUCAGAUGUGAAAUCCAUGGGCUCAACCCAUGAACUGCAUUUGAAACUGUAUCUCUUGAGUGUCGGAGAGGUAGACGGAAUUCCUUGUGUAGCGGUGAAAUGCGUAGAUAUAAGGAAGAACACCAGUGGCGAAGGCGAUCUACUGGACAGUAACUGACGCUGAGGCGCGAGAGCGUGGGGAGCAAACAGGAUUAGAUACCCUGGUA
rnacentral:rRNA from 1 species